GGUAUAAACUUGUUAAGAAUAUAAAUAAUAACUUAACAUAUUGUUUUUGAAGUAACAAAAUAUAAAAUAAUAAAUAUCUAUAAGAAGAUUAUGCCCGCAUGUGCGGGCAAGACACCUAGUUGAUUGAAAACAUAAAAAAUCAAUAAUAAAUAAUUAAUAAUUAAUUAUUUCAAAAUAAGAUAAACUUAAUGUAACAAAAAUGGAAAACAUGUCUCAACGAAUGCAAUCAUUUCAAGGGGAAUUUACCAAAUAUAACCUAAACAUUGAUUUGAAAUGCAAAACUAGAUCCAAUAUCCAAUGAAAUGUAAACUAACUUAAAGAGAUAGUAUAAUUACUAUUUACCCUUUCCGACCAAAUAAAAAAAACAUGAAAUUAUUUUAUGAUUCUAUCUUUUGGAAAUCUACAUUUCAUAGAAAGAAGUCUACAAUGUGUAGAUUUCCUAAGAAGUCUACAUACUCCGAAGUCUAUGUUGUAAUUUUAUCAAGUAAUUUUAGUUUAAACAUGUAUAAAAAGUAAUGUGUGAAAUUUAUUAUAAAUCAUCAAUUUAAAAUUAAUAUGAGCUAUAUAAAUUAAAAUUCGGGAAUUUUCAUGUUUACCACUUUCAUGUACCAUUAUUCAUUUUUACCACCACUAAAGAGACAUUUUCAAAAAUACAUUUUUCAUUAAGUGGUAAAAGACUCUUAUACACUUGUUCUCUACAUAUAUAUAAUAAAUAAUUUUUAUUUUAUUUUUUUGAAUUAUACUUUUUCAAAUACGAACUUCUUUAUAAAAAAAAAUUUCGAAUUUUUUUUUUUUGGAAAAUUUCUUUUUGAAAAUAAAAAAUUAUGUUUGAAACUAUUUUAAAAUUGUUUUUAAACGUUGACAACUCUUUCUUAGGUUAGUAAUCGGUGACUUGCUUCGCUUAAAUUUUUUUGAAGUAUUUAUUUAUAUAUUUAUAAAAAUCCUAAAUUUCAUAUUUUAAAAACCCUAUCCCACCCCUCAACUCUAAAUCAUAAGUCUAGAUUAAUUAACCCUAGGGUUAUAAAAGUUUUUUACCCUUCAUGAAAAAUGAAGGUAAAAAUGGUUAGUGUAAACAUGAAAAGUGGUACUAUGAAUGUGGUAUUUUUGACAAUUUCCAUUAAAAUUGAAUACAAUUGAACAAUCUAAAAACUAUAUACAACCAUGUGUUGGACAAUGCUUAUGGUUUGGCAACAAAAGGUUUAAAGAUGUAACUACUUUUGGUGUUAGAUUUUUGCUUUAUUAACUUAUAUUUACGUAUAAAUGUUUACUAUUUUAUAGUUUAAAAUAUUUUCAUAUUUGAUACAUGAUUAAUUAAGAUUUUUGGUUAUCAAAUGGAUAUUUAGGGUUUGGGUUUGGGAUUUAAGGUUUAGUAGAUUUCAAAUGAGUAUACUUAAUUUUAGGGUAUAGUAGACCUCUUUUUAAAUAAGUAAAAUAAUUUGAAAUUAUAUUAUUUUUGCUUGAAUAAAAAUUCUGAAAUAAUAUACUAAAACUAUCAAAAUAAUAAUAAUAAAAAUUGCUAAGUCAUAUAUCAAAAUUAUAAACAAAUAAAAAAUAACAUAUUGAAAUUAUCUUCGUAGACUUCCAAAAAAAUCUACUAGGUAAAUUUUCAAAAAAGUCCACUAGGUAGAGUUCCAAGGAAUUCUAGUCCAUAAUUUUAAGUUUAGUAGAUUUAAAAAAGUCUAGUAUGCCGUUAAUUUUAAUCUAAUUAUAGUUUUUGUCUCUUUAUAUAAUAAAGAAAUUUUACACAUCUUCUCUCUAAAAUGGCUCAAUAAAUUUUUAUAAUUCUUUCACUUCUUUCUAAAACUCUCUCGUCUCUCUAAAACUUUCUAAUUUGUGAGAUAACAAACGAAGUCCCACAUUGGAGAAUUAGACAAAGAGUGUAUAAUAUAUAAAAAGAUGUCCAACUCUAAUAGUACGAGGCCUUUGGGAAGAAAACCAAAAGUAAAUCCAUGCGGGCUUGCCAAUUAGGCCCAAAGUGGACAAUCUCGUACUAAUCGGAUAAUAUAGAGUUGGACAUGGACUUUAACAAUCCCAACAAUUGAUAUCAGAACGGUUGACGAAAAAUCUGCAAAAGACCAAUAUACCUUUCGAGAGAUGAAUGGUAUCCUAUGAGUUAGGAUAGGAAUGAGAGGUGUGUGGCAGAGAUCAAGUCAAAAAAUUCUGGAAGUCAGUUUUGGAAUACGAGAUGAAUGUGAUCCUUAGGUUGAGGGUGAGAAUGUGAGAUAACAAACUAAGUCUUACAUUGGAGAAUUAGACAAAGAGUGACUAAUAUAUAAAGAGAUAUUCAACUCUAAUAGCACGAGACCUUUUGGAAAGAAAACCAAAAAUAAAUUCAUGAGGACUUGCCAAUUAGGCCCAAAAUGGACAGCAUCGUACUAAUUGGAUAAUAUAGUGUCGGACAUGGACUUUAACGAUCCCAACAUAAUUUAUGUCUAACCUCUCAAUGCUUUUGGUCCGACCGGAAUCGUAUUUACACAUCAAUUUUAUGGGUGGUGUGAAGAGCAGGACGUGCUUCUUAAAAGUUACAUGAAUUACCCCGGCCUGGACCGCAUGGGAGUUGGAAUAAAAUUUUAAGGAUUGGCAGGUGAAAAUUUGUUACAACUUACAAGAGAAAAUUUGCAUUAGUGAGGAAAGCCCAUAAUUAUGCCCAGUCGUAGGAAGUGGAAAUGCCGUAGUUUAGUCGACAAUGAAUAGAAUCGGAUCGCUUAGAGCUAGAAAGUUGCACAAUCUUUUAUUAGAGUUUUAGAUUUGCGACCUGAAAACAAAGAUCAUAUUUUUGACAAUCAUUCCAACUUGACGAGAAUACGAACCCGGAGGCUUUUGCCUUUGGCGGUGAAAUCUCUCGUUGCUUGUUCUACAAGUCUUGAACCUCUUUCUUUUUAAUUCUUCAUUUCUUAUUUUAAUAGAAAACAAUAUUUGAAAGUUACACAAAAGAGCUUCUUGUGAUUGGCCAAGAAGGCAAGAAGUAAUACAAAAAAAAAUUAACAAAAGCUUAACUAAAAGAAUUUCCACUACGAGAAUUAUUAAAAAUAGCAAAAGACUGGCGAGGAUAUUUCUGUAGCCAUAACUGUUAACGAUUGCGACAUAUAGCGACAAAACAUAAAAAUGUUAAAUUUAUAGCUAAUCUAUAGCGAUCUAUAGCUAUAAAUAUGAUCCGUAGACACUCUUUUGCUAAAUAGCUACUAAUUAGCGAGGAAUGUGGAAGCACCGUAGCCUAUUGGUUAUGGUUUAAAGGCUUUUACACCCAGGUCUAGGGUUCAAAUCCCAGACUAUGCAAUUUUUUGCAGAUUGCACAGGAAAUCCAGAUUUCAAUUCCCGGAGCAAGCGAUUUAUUCAACAAUUAUGGGAUUACGGAAGAAAGGCUUACAAGGAUUUCUCAACAUGGUGAAAGUAAAUCCAGUCAGGCGUGAUCUUCCUAGGACGGCUCAAAUGAUGCAGUUAGGCGUAGAUCCUCAUAAGGCAGGUAGUAUUGUCGGUUAUCGAAUCGUCUUUGUAAUCUUUCUCAUAAUUGUAAUAUCUAAAUAAAUCCCCGACAAAAAAAAAAUUAGCGAGAAAUAAAUUAUCGCCAAAAGUUUUAUAGUUAGCAACAUAUGGCUAUAAAUAUUUAUGUAUCCAGUUGAUAUGUAUAUAUUUGAAAUUUACAUUUGUGAUAUAUGUUUGAAAAAAGUAAUGUUUGAUUUAAGAUAAUGUAUAUUUGUGUUAUGUGUAUAAAAGACUUAAUUUAAUGCUUGUUGUGUUUGGUUGAUACUUGAGUUAGAGAUUAUGGUAUAGGGGUUUAGAUUUUAGGGAUUGUGGAUUGGGGUUAAGGGUUAAAAGAUUUUAUAGUUAAGAAAUUGUUAAGAACAUAAUAAAUUAUAAUUUGUUAGAAAUUUAUAUUAGAUUUUAAAAGUGUAAUUUGUGUUGUUAAAAUGAAAAUAUUUGGCUGUUUUUUUAUCAGGGAUUAUGGUAUAGGAUUUAAAUUUUAAGGAUUGUGGUUUAGGGUUAAGAGUUUAUAGUUAAGAAGUUGUUAAAAAUAUAAAAAUUUGGUUAGUUAAUUAUAAUUGGUUAAAAAUUUAUAUUACACUAUUAAAAAUGGGUAAAUAUGGUUAUUAUAAAAAAUAUUAUUUGUAACAUCACAAAAUUUUAUUUUCCUCUAUUAAGUAUUUUUUCCCCACACAUUUCCCUUCCAAUUAUUUUUGGCUCUACUUAUUGCCUCCAUUUUCUCAUUUCCCUCCCAAGUAUUUUUGGGUUUAACUCCAAAAUAUUUUGGCCCAAAAUUUGGUUAUCAGUUAUGUUUUUCAUGACGUACGGCACUUACCGAGUCUUCUUCUCCUCUCGCCUCGCCUCGGUCAUGUUAUCCGGGUCCCAUGCGAGAGACUGAGGGAAGAAAUACGACUUCUCAAAAAUACUUCACAUCCAAGCAUUGUUGUGAGUACGCGAAUCCAUUCUCUUAUUUUCUUAGAUGUAUAUAUUAUUGUCUGUUCUGCAUUUGUAUUCCCCUUAGUACCAAUUUCUUAAAAUUUAUUUCAGAGAUACUUAGGUACUAUAGGGAAGAAUGAGUAACCAAAAAUCUUGAUAGAUUUUUGCCCAGUGGUUCGGUAUCAUCUGUGUUGGAAAAGUUUGGAUCUUUUCCUGAACCAGUAUGUCCUUCCUAAACCUGAAAUCUGUUAAACUUUGUGUUUGAGCUUCCCACGGCAUAAAUAUGAGCUUUCUUAAUUAUAGUCUUUCUUUUGUGAAUAUUAUUACUCUUGCUGCUGUAAGUUUUAUUAUGAGGGGACAUUUUUUUAAUUGUUUCCAACACAAGAUUGUUUGCUUGAUCUCAGAUUCUCAGUGCAGUACACAUGUGACUAUUAUUCAGCAGACUUGAAUCAUCUACAUGUUUCUCAGUCCCAUUGAAGAACUUAGUGAUACUGAGUUAUUCUGGGGCCAACGUCCAAUUCAGGCACGGUUUCUUCCCUAUUGUAUUUAUAAGCUACAUAAGUUUUUGCUCCAUCCUUACUCAUCUUGACAUUUUUCUGCAUAUUUUGUUACUGCUUAUGGUAUUCCUCGAUGUUUCAUGAUUUUUCCUAUUGAACAUUACUUUCAAAAACUCCUAUUAAAUAGGAAUCUUUAGUAAAUCUCUUUACUUCAAGUGUUGGAACUCUCUCUUACCUUUCUUAGCGAUGACUGUGGAUUCCCUUGUGAUUUUGUAUUCACUGGGGCUUUUAUGGUAGUGAAGACACUUUGCAAGAGUUACUGAAGCACUGCUUAAGAGAAUACAUAUGAUAAAUUCAUGGAUUCAGUUAAGAUUCAACCUUUCAAAGAUGGUGAUUUUGAACCUUUUUUAUUUUAUUUUUACGUUCAACUUCUUGUUUGUACUUAUAUAACACAAUGAUUUCUAUUAUACUAGGGUCGGUCCGCGCUACGCGCGGGAUAUGAGUUACGUGUGAUGUCAAAACUAUAGAAUUGUAUCUUAUUUUUUA